rnacentral:rRNA from 1 species
AGCGAACGCUGGCGGCAGGCCUAACACAUGCAAGUCGGACGGACCCUUCGGGAUUAUUGGCGGACGGUUGAGGAACACGUGGGAACGUUCCCUUUGGUUCGGAACAACUCAGGGAAACUUGAGCUAAUACCGGACGUGCGCUACGGGGGAAAGAUUUAUUGCCCUUGAAGGUGCCAGCGUGGGAUUCGCUAGUUCGUGAGGUAACGGCACACCAAGGCGUCGAUUAGCAGCUUGUCUGAGAGGAUGAUCAGCCACACUGAGACUGAGACCCGGCCCAGACUCCUACGGGAGGCGGCAGUGGGGAAUCUUGCACAAUGGGCGAAAUCAUGACGCUGCCAUGCCGCGUGAAUGAUGAAGGUAUUAGGAUUGUAAUAUUCUUGCAGCGGGGACGAUAAUGACGGUACCCGCAGAAGAAGCCCCGGCUAACUUCGUG